rnacentral:misc_RNA from 1 species
GGACGAUUCGCCGCCCAUGAUCUGCAAAACCAUUUUCGCAAUAUCAGUGCCGGCCGCGAUCUCGCUGUUCCCCGGCACACCCCCCGGCGUGUUCCAGUCAUACGCAUAGUCCAGCGCCGGAUUGACNNNNNNNNNNGCGGGAUCGAGCGCCCAGGACUUCCGCAAGGCUGCAUUCCGCAAACUUUCGGGCACACCCGUGCGCAGGAAGCCGGUUAUAUCGGUAGUUUCCGUGAUCUCUUCCAGCUUCGGCAGG